rnacentral:misc_RNA from 1 species
GAAGAAGAACGUAGCGAAAUGCGAUAAGUAAUGUGAAUUGCAGAAUUCAGUGAAUCAUCGAGUUUUUGAACGCAUAUUGCGCCCUCUGGUAUUCCGGGGGGCAUGCCUGUUCGAGCGUCAUUAAAUAACCCUCAAGCAUAGCUUGGUGUUGGGCUUUUUUACGUCCUUGACUGGGAUGGGCCUAAAAAUUAGUGGCGAUGGCUUUUUUACUUUCAAGCGUAGUAAAUCUCGUCUUGCUAAAGAGGAAAAAGAUUUUUUUUCUGCCAAAAAUUUUAACAUUUAAAGUUGACCUCGGAUCAGGUAGGAUUACCCGCUGAACUUAAGCAUAUCAAUAAGCGGAGGA